rnacentral:misc_RNA from 1 species
GAUGAAGAACGUAGCGAAAUGCGAUAAGUAAUGCGAAUUGCAGAAUUCAGUGAAUCAUCGAAUCUUUGAACGCACAUAGCGCUCUCUGGUAUUCCGGAGAGCACGCCUGUUCGAGCGCCAUUUCACCCCCCAAGCAGUGCUUGAUGUUGGAGGCCGCGGAGAGAUCCGCGCCUCUGAAACUUGUGAGGCGCCGUCCGUCGAGCACCAGCGUGGCAAGCAAACUUCGCUGGGAUGUGUUCGGAUGGGUGGCAGCCGCGACGUACCAAUUUUUUGGGAUUUUCCCGAAAAUCAGGUUGGCCUCGGAUCAGGUGGGGAUACCCGCUGAACUUAAGCAUAUCAAUAAGCGGAGGA